rnacentral:rRNA from 1 species
UACAGAGGUGGCAAGCGUUGUUCGGAAUUACUGGGCGUAAAGGGCGAGUAGGUGGCCAUCUAAGUCAGACGUGAAAUCCCCCGGCUUAACCUGGGAACUGCGUCUGAUACUGGACGGCUUGAGUAUGGGAGAGGAACGUAGAAUUCCAGGUGUAGCGGUGAAAUGCGUAGAUAUCUGGAGGAAUACCGGUGGCGAAGGCGGCGUUCUGGACCAUUACUGACACUGAAUCGCGAAAGCUAGGGGAGCAAACGGGAUUAGAUACCCCCGUAGUCC